rnacentral:rRNA from 1 species
AUUGAACGCUGGCGGCAUGCCUUACACAUGCAAGUCGAACGGUAACAGGUCUUCGGAUGCUGACGAGUGGCGAACGGGUGAGUAAUACAUCGGAACGUGCCCGAUCGUGGGGGAUAACGAGGCGAAAGCUUUGCUAAUACCGCAUACGAUCUACGGAUGAAAGCGGGGGAUCUUCGGACCUCGCGCGGACGGAGCGGCCGAUGGCAGAUUAGGUAGUUGGUGGGAUAAAAGCCUACCAAGCCGACGAUCUGUAGCUGGUCUGAGAGGAUGAUCAGCCACACUGGGACUGAGACACGGCCCAGACUCCUACGGGAGGCAGCAGUGGGGAAUUUUGGACAAAGGGCGAAAGCCUGAUCCAGCCAUGCCGCGUGCAGGAUGAAGGCCUUUGGGUUGUAAACUGCUUUUGUACGGAACGAAAAGCCUCUUUCUAAUAAAGAGGGGUCAUGACGGUACCGUAAGAAUAAGCACCGGCUAACUACGCG